rnacentral:rRNA from 1 species
UACGUAGGGGGCAAGCGUUAUCCGGAUUUACUGGGUGUAAAGGGAGCGUAGACGGUGUGGCCAGUCUGAUGUGAAAGGCAUGGGCUCAACCUGUGGACUGCAUUGGAAACUGUCAUACUUGAGUGCCGGAGGGGUAAGCGGAAUUCCUAGUGUAGCGGUGAAAUGCGUAGAUAUUAGGAGGAACACCAGUGGCGAAGGCGGCUUACUGGACGGUAACUGACGUUGAGGCUCGAAAGCGUGGGGAGCAAACAGG